GAGACAGCAGCCGCCGCGGUAAUACGGAGGGGGCUAGCGUUGUUCGGAAUUACUGGGCGUAAAGCGCACGUAGGCGGCUUGGUAAGUUAGGGGUGAAAGCCCGGAGCUCAACUCCGGAAUUGCCUUUAAGACUGCCGAGCUAGCAGGUGAGAGAGGUAAGUGGAAUUCCGAGUGUAGAGGUGAAAUUCGUAGAUAUUCGGAAGAACACCAGUGGCGAAGGCGGCUUACUGGCUCAUACUGGACGCUGAUGCACGAAAGCGUGGGGAUCAAACAGGAUUAGAUACCCCCGUAGUCCCUGUCUCUUAUAC
rnacentral:rRNA from 1 species